rnacentral:rRNA from 1 species
CGGCGGCCGUAACUAUAACGGUCCUAAGGUAGCGAAAUUCCUUGUCGGGUAAGUUCCGACCUGCACGAAUGGCGUAAUGAUGGCCAGGCUGUCUCCACCCGAGACUCAGUGAAAUUGAACUCGCUGUGAAGAUGCAGUGUACCCGCGGCAAGACGGAAAGACCCCGUGAACCUUUACUAUAGCUUGACACUGAACAUUGAGCCUUGAUGUGUAGGAUAGGUGGGAGGCUUUGAAGUGUGGACGCCAGUCUGCAUGGAGCCAACCUUGAAAUACCACCCUUUAAUGUUUGAUGUUCUAACGUAGACCCGUGAUCCGGGUUGCGGACAGUGUCUGGUGGGUAGUUUGACUGGGGCGGUCUCCUCCCAAAGAGUAACGGAGGAGCACGAAGGUUAGCUAAUCCUGGUCGGACAUCAGGAGGUUAGUGCAAUGGCAUAAGCUAGCUUGACUGCGAGCGUGACGGCGCGAGCAGGUGCGAAAGCAGGUCAUAGUGAUCCGGUGGUUCUGAAUGGAAGGGCCAUCGCUCAACGGAUAAAAGGUACUCCGGGGAUAACAGGCUGAUACCGCCCAAGAGUUCAUAUCGACGGCGGUGUUUGGCACCUCGAUGUCGGCUCAUCACAUCCUGGGGCUGAAGUAGGUCCCAAGGGUAUGGCUGUUCGCCAUUUAAAGUGGUACGCGAGCUGGGUUUAGAACGUCGUGAGACAGUUCGGUCCCUAUCUGCCGUGGGCGCUGGAGAAUUGAGGGGGGCUGCUCCUAGUACGAGAGGACCGGAGUGGACGCAUCACUGGUGUUCGGGUUGUCAUGCCAAUGGCAUUGCCCGGUAGCUAAAUGCGGAAAAGAUAAGUGCUGAAAGCAUCUAAGCACGAAACUUGCCCCGAGAUGAGUUCUCCCUGACUCCUUGAGAGUCCUGAAGGAACGUUGAAGACGACGACGUUGAUAGGUCGGGUGUGUAAGCGUAGCGAUACGUUGAGCUAACCGAUACUAAUGAACCGUGAGGCUUAACCUU